rnacentral:tRNA from 2 species
GGGCGUAGCUCAGUUGGGAGAGCGUCUGCCUUGCACGUAGAAGGUCAGCGGUUCGAAUCCGCUCGUCUCCACUCU